ACUAAAAAAAGAUAAUAGAUAUGGUAAAGAGAAGCAUGCAUCUUAAAAUAUUACAAAAGAUUAGCUUGCAGAAAAGGAAAAAAAUCCAGAUCCAUGUACCCACAAGCUGAAUCUACAAUCCUCCUUUAACCCUGAAUUUUUCUUUGGAUGGCUCUGAAACAAUGACUAGUAGUCCCAAAACUAGAUUGGACCACUUUAUGAUCAAUGAAUCCCCAGAUGGCAUUCCUUUUUCCGUUUAAUGUCUGUGCAGAUUCCAUUUCUGCUUGAAUCUCUUCCUUGAAAAUAUAGAGGAAACUGACGAUGCUCACCAAAGAAAAAAAGAAUUUUCAAUCUUGAGCUGAAGAUAUACUAAAUUCUUUUAAUAUUAAAUCAAAGGUUUUGCUUGUGAUUUUCUUUUAAUGUUUUUUUUUCGUUCUCUGUAAAGGCACAUGUGACAUGACAAUAAUUUUACUUUUCUUCUUUAAUAUUCUCUUUCCUGCUUUCUAAACUCCAUUUUAAAGAUCUUACAUUGCAUGCUUAGGAUUCAACAGUUAGCUAAGUCUGUAAUUGGCCUUUUAAUAGAGUUCAUAAUAUCUAAUCCCAAACAUCACCCUGUUCUUUCUCUAUAUCUUCACUUUUGAUUUUACUUUUAAGACUGAAAAGAGAAGAAGGCGUAACACUUUGAUACAGAACUUCCCUACGGUUAUUUAUGAGUGUAAAGAGAAACAGGCAUGCCAUUACAAGACGUGUAGCAAAAAAUGUUUCAAAUACAUUAAUAGAAAGAAGGGCUUUCAUGGCCAAACCAUCCUAGGGACAUAGCUGAAAAUACAGAUAAAAGAGAACCACAUAACAGUAAGGAACCCUCGACGAUGACGACUACUUUAAUAAGCUAUCCAUUGCAUCAAUGACAAUAAUUAAUCACUUUCAAAUACUGCAAAAUUAACGUCUUUGUUUUUAGCAGCUGCCACAGCGUGGCGCACAGCCAAUACUGAGAAACGAUGGGUAAAGGAGACCGACACACUGCCAUCCCAAUUCCUAACAACAAUACCAACGGCAACCCGCCCUUUCUUUCUUACAAACAGCCCCAUCAAAGUUGAAUUUAUGGAAAAGUAUGCAAGGAGGGCACCAAUCCAUAAAGGGGACUGGGGAUUGCUUGAAGAGACCUCCACCUUGACUGACAUGUUUCCUUAACUGAUUCCCAAAAAUGGGUUAUUUUUGACAUAG
rnacentral:lncRNA from 1 species